UUUGGCUCCAGCCACCCCAAUGGCAUUUCCUCUUAAGCUGUUGGGAAAGACAGGAAGCCUAAGGCAUGGGUACAGGCUGAGAGGUGAUACUGACCCCUCUGCGGGUGGGCUUGGGGCUGCUUGGUAGAGGAAACAAGGACUUCAGCAGUCACAGGAGGCCAGGGCUGUGCCUUCCUCACUCCAGGGCAACAGGGCAGAGCUGGCUCUGGGAAGCAGGGCACACAGGGGCAUGGCUGGCCUAGCCAGGAGGGUUGUUGGAGCCUUCCUCCUCUUCCAUUUCAAACAGAAAAGCGGGGCUGAGACAGGAGAGGCAGCCCUCCAUCUGGGCAGGUCCCCAGUGCUCCCAGCAAGGGCAGGAAUUCUGAGGACAUGCCUGAGCCUCAGAGCUGUAACCUCACCCCAGGACUUUGGAUCUGCCCAGAGAACAAGAUCAGCCCCCCUGGGACCCAUAAACCAGGCCUCUAGACGUGUUCAGCCUGGCAAGGCCAACCCGGAGAGGAGGGCAAAUGAUAGCGACUCCCAGGGAAAGGCAUGAAGUGGGGCUGGGAAACUGGUAUACUUGCACUGAAAUGAAGAUCACCAGGAUGAUUUGUGAGUUGUCUGUAAACUUUGUCCCCAUAUCUAUUCAUUGAGAAUUCAUUGAUUUCUUUGGGCUAAAGACCAUAGAUGGAGACUGGAAUACUUACUCGAGAAUCUCCAAGGUUCUGUUCACAGCCAAGGCUUCCCCUAGCACCUGGGCGCCUGAAGCACCAAUUGAGGCCACCUGGAGACUGGGGCGGAGAGGGUGCCGUCAGUGUGAGCCGGCUGGGCCCACCUCCCUCCGCAUACUCCGUUCCCUUUCACCACCCCUUGACUCAGGAUGGAAAGUGGAGAAACAGCACUGAGAAUGGUUGGCCAGCGCUGUGUCUAGGCACUCCAUCUCCUACCUACACUGUCUGUUGCCUAAGACAGAGAUCUGGAUGCUAAGGAGAUGAGAAAUAGAGGCUGUCCCUGGAAGGGCUCGGGGAGAAUGCUCCCUGUACCUCCUCAUUACUACUCUCUAGGUGUUUGAGCCCCCAACUGCUAAUAUCAUAUUUCCUAUAUUAGGAAAAUCAAACACACCUUCCUUGACUUGUAAACAAAAAUAACGUCCAGGCCAGGUGUGGUGGCUCACACCUGUAAUCCCAGCACUUUGGGAGGCUGAGGUGGGCAGAUCACCUGAAGUCAGGAGUUUGAGACCAGCCUGGCCAAUAUGGUGAAACCCCGUCUCUACUAAAAAUACAAAAAUUAGGCUGGGUGUGGUGGUGCACGCCUGUUAUCCCAACUACUGUAUGGGAGGCUGAGGCUUGAGAAUCACUUGAACCCAGGAGGUGGAGGUUACAGUUAGCUGAGAUUAUGUCACUGCACUCCAGCCUGGGUGGCAGAGCAAGACUCUUGUCUCGAGGAAAAAAAAAAAAAAAAAGACCUCUAACGUGAAAGGAUGGCGAAGGGACCGGUUUCCUGACUGCUGCGCACAUCUAGGACUUACUAGAGAGCAGUGAGGGCUGUGUUGACCUUCAGUGCACGGGCCACCGCACACGCUCCGUCAUCCCCGAUGGCGUUCUCCUGUAAACUAGACACAGAGUAUGACCCCUUUGGGUGCACGGGGCACAGGGAGCAUUCUAGCAAGGCCCUGCCGCACUUGGACCUGCCAGGUUUAACCGACUACACACACCAUAGACACUCCCAGGGUUUCCUGGGGAUAACUGCCCUUCCUCCACAGGCCCUGCAGCCCGCCGCCUCAUACUAAGCACACAGAGGCGUCUGGGGCCUGCAUGAGUCUGAACCGCCAGAGGCAAGCAGGAAAUGGGACAUAUAGAGUGACUGUCAGCAGGGGCUUGGGACCCAAAAGGGGAUGCUUUUCACAGCCAACCAGAAAAUGAACUUAAAGCCCUCAAUCCCUGAGCCAUUCUUGUUUGUCUUGUUUUCUCUUGAGACAGGGUCUCACUCUGCCACCCAGGCUGGAAUGCAGUGGUGAGAUCACGGCUCACUGCAGCCUCAACCUCCCAGGCUCAAGCGAUCCUCCCACCUCAGCCUCCCGAGGAGACUAAAGUACUUAACUAGAGACGGGGACUACAGGCACAUGCCCCCAUGCCCGGCUAAUGUUUUUAUUCUUUUAUAGAGAUGGGGUCUCACUAUGUUGCUCAGGCUGGUCCUGAACUCCUGGGCUCAAGCAGUCCUCCCACCUUGGCAUCCCAAAUUGCUGGCAUUACAGGCAGGAGCCACCACGCCCAACCUCCUUGGCCAUUCUUGCUAAUUAGGGCUUUGUGUCAUUUUUUCCCCUUCUAAGUUGGAGGGAACUAGCAGGCCCUGGUGCAGUGAGUGACUGAGUUUAGCUCAAGCGCACACUGGUAUGUUCAAGGCCAAGAGCUGUUUGCAUUCAUUAUUUUAACAGACAUUUGAGUGUGGCCGGGCGCAGUGGCUCACACCUUUAAUCCCAGCACUUUGGGAGGCUGAGGUGGGUGGAUCACUUGAGGUCAGGAGUUCGAGACCAGCCUGGCCAACAUGGUGAAACCCCGUCUCCACUAAAAAUACGAAAAUUAGGCUGGGUGGGUGUAUUUUUAGUAGAGACAGGGUUCUCUGUCUCUACUAAAUUAGCUGGGAGUGGUGGAGGGCACCUGUAGUCCCAGCUACUGGGGAGGCUGAUGCAGGAGAAUCACUUGAACCCAGGAGGUGGAGGUUGCAGUAAGCCGAGAUCCCGCCACUGCACUCCAGCCUGGGCGACAGAGUUAGACUCCGUCUCAAAAAAUUAAAAUG
rnacentral:lncRNA from 10 species